GACAGAGGGUGCAAACGUUGCUCGGAAUCACUGGGCGUAAAGGGCGUGUAGGCGGGAAGGAAAGUCGGGCGUGAAAUCCCUGGGCUCAACCCAGGAACUGCACUCGAAACUUCUUUUCUUGAGUGCCGGAGAGGAAAGCGGAAUUCCUGGUGUAGAGGUGAAAUUCGUAGAUAUCAGGGAGGAACACCAGUGGCGAAGGCGGCUUUCUGGACGGUAACUGACGCU
rnacentral:rRNA from 1 species